rnacentral:lncRNA from 1 species
AAUAUCUAAAAGCUGUUUACAAUACAGUUAGAAAUUAACCAAAAUUUAAACAAGAUGCAAAAUGGUCCAUCUAAAUCAUCUGUAAUUCUGGAAACAUUAUACAAGAUGUCAUCUUGAAAUUAUCAAUUUAAGUUGUCUUGUCAGCAUUAUUUGGAAAGAGAGCCAAGCCUAAGGGACAACACUGAUGUGAACAUGUGUAACUGCUUCUAUUCUGAGCAGGUUACAUGGUUCAGUUAUUCACAUCUGCACAUAGCAUUUGCUGGGUAAUCUUGGAGGAGUUACAGGUGAAAACUCCAUAGCUUCUGUUUGAGCACUGAUACUAUGAGCCAAAGAACAAAGUAGAGCUCAUUUUCUCUUGAUUAAUUCAUGUCCUUGUCCUCAACACUGUAGCUGCACAGACACUAACGUGGUAGAAAAUUGGCUAAGCAACAGGGUGUCUCCACAUAAAGCAAUCAGCAUUGACUGACUGAAUUCAAGUCCUCGUACUGUUAAUUCUCUUCCUGGCUGGGUCUGCAUUCAAUCCUUUACUGCAUCCCAUAGAAUGGCUGCGUAAGAAACAACACCAAAACUACAGUUCUUCCUCCAUUCCCCAGUGUUUCUGCUUUAACACAAAGAACAAGUA